CCUACGGUGGCAGCAGUGGGGAAUAUUGGGCAAUGGGCGCAAGCCUGACCCAGCAACGCCGCGUGAGGGAAGAAGGCCUUCGGGUUGUAAACCUCUGUCCUUGGUGACGAAAAAAAUGACGGUAGCCAAGGAGGAAGCCCCGGCUAACUACGUGCCAGCAGCCGCGGUAAUACGUAGGGGGCGAGCGUUGUCCGGAAUUACUGGGCGUAAAGGGUGCGUAGGUGGCCUUUUAAGUUGGAUGUGAAAUACCCGGGCUUAACUUGGGGGGUGCAUCUAAUACUGGAAGGCUAGAGUGCAGGAGAGGGAAGCGGAAUUCCUAGUGUAGCGGUGAAAUGCGUAGAUAUUAGGAGGAACACCAGUGGCGAAGGCGGCUUUCUGGACUGUAACUGACACUGAGGCACGAAAGCGUGGGGAGCAAACA
rnacentral:rRNA from 1 species